rnacentral:lncRNA from 1 species
AACCAUAACAAUAACACAAAUCAAAUCCUAGAAAAACCAAUGACCAAAUUCUAAUGCGGAAUCAACAAUGACUUUGAAAGACUACAAUGCAUGUGUGUGUUUUAUAGCAGAAGUAGCGUGGUGGCUUAUGGUUUCCAGAGAAUGGUGGUGUCUGCAAUCAUGGAAGUAACAACAUAUGGAUCCAUGUUAGAUGAUGGCCUCCUGUCCUCGAAAUAACCUUUUCCUGCUUUCUCUGUGUCCCUUCCAACUCUAAUCGACGCACCACGGUUUGCAACACCCUUCAAAUAACACAAGCCACACCAACAAUUAGAAGAUGUAGUAGAGACUUAAAUUAAUGUCAAAUGAAAACUUUUUUUUUAUAUUGGAGAGAACAAUAUUAUUAUUUGCUUACCCAUAAGAAGGUGUUAAUGUCAGCCGUCUCAUGUCGCCCUGUCAACCUACGCUCGUUGCCUUCUCCAUAAGCAGCAAUGUGCUCCUUGUGCUUCUUCCCAAGCUUCUCAAUUGCUUUCAAGAUGACUUCAUAGCCACCAUCUUCUCUCAUAGACUUGGU